rnacentral:ncRNA from 1 species
CGACCCCAGGUCAGGCGGGACUACCCGCUGAGUUUAAGCAUAUAAAUAAGCGGAGGAGAAGAAACUUACAAGGAUUCCCCUAGUAACGGCGAGCGAACCGGGAGCAGCCCAGCUUGAGAAUCGGGCGGCUGUGACGUCCGAAUUGUAGUCUGGAGAGGCGUCCUCAGCGACGGACCGGGCCCAAGUCCCCAGGAAAGGGGCGCCUGGGAGGGUGAGAGCCCAGUCCGGCUCGGACCCUGUCGCCCCACGAGGCACCGUCAAUGAGUCGGGUUCUUUGGGAAUGCAGCCCAAAUCGGGCGGUAGACUCCGUCCAAGGCUAAAUACAGACGAGAGACUGAUAGCAAACAAGUACCGCGAGGGAAAGAUGAAAAGGAAUUUGAAAAGAGAGUCAAAGAGUGCUUGAAAUUGCCGGGAGGGAAGCGGAUGGGGGCCGGCGAUGCGCCCCGGUCGUAUGCGGAACGGCUCUUGCAGGUCCGCCGCUCGGCUCGGGGUGUGGACUGUUGUCGGCCGCGCCGGCGGCCAAAGCCCGGGGGCCCUAGGUGCCCCCGGUGGCCGUCGUCGGCACGGCCGGUACCCGCGCGCCAAAAGGCGUGCCCCUCGGGGCACUGCGCUCCAACGGCCUGUGGGCUCCCCAUCCGACCCGUCUUGAAACACGGACCAAGGAGUCUGACAUGCGUGCGAGUCGACGGGUUCUGAAACCUGGGAUGCGCAAGGAAGCUGACGAGCGGGAGGCCCUCACGGGCCGCACCGCCGGCCGACCCUGAUCUUCUGUGAAGGGUUCGAGUUGGAGCACGCUUGUCGGGACUCGAAAGAUGGUGAACUAUGCCUGAGCAGGGCGAAGCCAGCGGAAACUCUGGUGGAGGCUCGAAGCGAUACUGACGUGGAAAUCGUUCGUCUGACUUGGGUAUAGGGGCGAAAGACUAAUCGAACCAUCUAGUAGCUGGUUCCCUCCGAAGUUUCCCUCAGGAUAGCUGGAGCCCAUUACAAGUUCUAUCAGGUAAAGCCGAUGAUUAGAGGCAUCAGGGACGCAACGUCAUCGACCUAUUCUCAAACUUUAAACAGGUAGGAUGGCGCGGCUGCUUCGGUGAGCCGUGCCACGGAAUCGGGUGCUCCAAGUGGGCCAUUUUUGGUAAGCAGAACUGGCGAUGCGGGAUGAACCGGAAGCCGGGUUAUGGUGCCCAACUGCGCGCUAACCUAGAACCCAAAAAAGGGUGUUGGUCGAUUAAGACAGCAGGACGGUGGUCAUGGAAGUCGAAAUCCGCUAAGGAGUGUGUAACAACUCACCUGCCGAAUCAACUAGCCCCGAAAAUGGAUGGCGCUGAAGCGCGUGACCCACACCCGGCCAUCUGGGCGAGCGCCAUGCCCCGAUGAGUAGGAGGGCGCGGCGGCCGCUGCAAAACCCGGGGCGCGAGCCCGGGCGGAGCGGUCGUCGGUGCAGAUCUUGGUGGUAGUAGCAAAUAUUCAAAUGAGAACUUUGAAGGCCGAAGAGGAGAAAGGUUCCAUGUGAACGGCACUUGCACAUGGGUAA